AUGCUUGGAACCUUGUUAAUGAUUUAUUAUAUGUGUGAUUUGGUGAUCCGUUACUCUCGUCCGGAUCAGGCUGCAAACUCAGAUGUAUAUUUUUUUCUCGAAAUAAUGGAGGAUCCAGAAGAAGAGAAUGAAUCUACGAUUUUUUUUGAACAGUCUCUGUUAGUGACAUUUGGCAUAAAAUAUAGAGUGUUGGUAUGUUUUUCUUACCGGAUCAGGCGAAUGGUAAGUCAUGUGUGUGUGCUUUCCUGCCAAGAUCCAAAAUUCAAAAUCAAAAUAUCUCCUAAACUGAGCUUCCAAAUUUAA
rnacentral:rRNA from 1 species